UACGGAGGAUGCGAGCGUUAUCCGGAUUUAUUGGGUUUAAAGGGUGCGCAGGCGGCAGAUUAAGUCAGCGGUGAAAUCCCGACGCUCAACGUCGGCAUUGCCGUUGAAACUGGUUUGCUUGAGUGUAGAUGAAGUAGACGGAAUUCGUUGUGUAGCGGUGACAUGCUUAGAUAUAACGAGGAACUCCGAUUGCGUAGGCAGCUUACUAAACUAUUACUGACGCUCAUGCACGAAAGCGUGGGGAUCAAACAGG
rnacentral:rRNA from 1 species